CUUCAUGAAUAACCUAAGGCUUACAUGUUUCUUUACUUGAGACAGACUUGUGUAGGAAGUUGAAGCACUGAGCUCAUGGAUGUGUUCUUCUCCACUCUCUUAAAGGUGGGUGCAGCUCUCCAGACCAAGUAGGGAUGGAUCUCAUCCAGAGAAGCAUCCUUCCCUGCUGUCCCAAACCCUCCUGGAAGGGUGCCUUGGUGCACAGUGUCUGACCAUGGAGAAGCCGUGCAGGGGGCAUGGAGUGUCUGAGUGCAGAGGAUUUGUGAUGCUCAGCACUGAUCCUGCAGCCUGAACUGCCAUGUCUCUGGGCAGUGGCCUGCCUUGGCAACAGGCUUCAACAACAGGGAGCUCUGCUGCAUCUGGAGAGAGCAGGAUAACUUGGACUGGAAGAAACACUGUGGUCUGAGUACAGGAAAGAAGGCUGUGUAGUGAUGGAAGACCACUUUUAGAAGGAACAUCCUCUGGUGCCAAGGGACACCACUUCAGCAAUUUUGGAUUUGGAUUGCCAGGACCGGCAGAUUGCACCUAAACCGUCCUGCCUGAGAACUGUUUACAAAAUAGUCCACAGAUCUCCUGGCAGACUCCAAAGCAAAACACAGCUCCCAGCCAAAGUCUGUGUUUUGGAAACUGUUUCUUUGAGCGUGCUGAAAAUAUGCAGACAGUCAAUCUGUGCAUGGCUUGGUAUGGAUUGAAUUCAUUUGGCAACGCUACUUAGGCAUGGAUGGCUGAUGGACCAUUUCAAGUCAUUGAUUACAGAGGAGGUUGAUCAGAGAAAUGUUCUCAUUGACCUGAAUCUGAUUCUUCUCUUCAUUACUAAAAGCUAAAUCAUUUUCACUAUGAAGCUGUUGGAGGAGAUCUGGAGAGAGAAACCAGCUGCACAAUGGAUGCUGGAGUGGUUUUAUGGGAUGGCCUUCUGCUCCUCAUCUUCUCAGAGGUCUGCAGAAUAAAAGUAAUCUGCUUUUAGACUGUGAAAAAUUGUCUCAAGUCAGCUUGAAGGAAGAAGACAGAAACCACCAUCUUUCUAUUUUAAGAGAUUUUCACAACUGGAGACUCAUAAUCAGCACCUCAGCAUAUGGACGCAAAGGUUAAGCUACAAAGAUACCCACACUGCUAAGAGCAAGGAGGGUCAGUCAGGCUCCACACCUGCACUAUCAGCCCACCUCUGGAAAUGAGCCUGGCCCAAGCAAAGGAAGGAAGACAAGUGUAACAGUAUGCAUUCAUAUUCCAUUAAUAUCCAUUGAAGUUUGCCUUUUAAUGCUAAUAGGCUUUUAAUGAUUUUGCAUAGGAGAAUGCCCUGUUUAAGGAAAGAGAGGACAACUAAAAAGUUAAAAUAUAGGGAAAAUAAUUUAAUGUAACUGUGUAGCAUGCCAUUGAAAUUUAUAAUGUAACUUGCACUGCCUCGGUUAUGAAAUGCUCUUAUCCUUAUUCUGUUCAAUACAGUUUAGCACUCAACUGAAAGAUUGCUAAUAACUGCUCCUCUUUAACAUGCUCACUAACAGCACUAUUUUGCAGCCCAUUUUCAGCGCACACUUCAGUUUAGAAAUGGACUCUGCUGCUGGCUGCCAGCUGAUUUCCCUUCAACAUACAGGCAGUGCUAAACUUCACUAAGGCUGUCUUUACAUGGAGCUGUAGGGAUGAAGAGACGUAUAUCUGUGUAUCUUGACUUCAUUACAGCAGCAGCAAACAUGAAACCAAAAAUCAGGAGUGCAACAGAUAAAUAAAUGAAUAUAGAAGAAAACUC